AAUCAACGCUGGCGGCGUGCCUCAGACAUGCAAGUCGAACGAUUUAAACUUUCCUUCGGGGGAAGAUAUAGAGUGGCGCACGGGUGAGUAACACGUAAGUAAUCUACCCUUGGGUGGGGAAUAACAUCGGGAAACCGAUGCUAAUACCGCAUAAUGCAGCGGCUUCUUAUGAAGACAGUUGUUAAAGCAUUUAUGUGCCUGAGGAGGAGCUUGCGGCAGAUUAGCAGUUGGUAAGGUAAUGGCUUACCAAGGCGACGAUCUGUAGCCGACCUGAGAGGGUGGUCGGUCACACUGACACUGAAUAACGGGUCAGACUCCUACGGGAGGCAGCAGUCGGGAAUUUUGGGCAAUGGGCGCAAGCCUGACCCAGCAACGCCGCGUGAAGGAUGAAGU
rnacentral:rRNA from 1 species